UACGGAGGGUGCGAGCGUUGUCCGGAAUCAUUGGGCGUAAAGGGCGCGUAGGUGGCCCGGUCAGUUCGUGGUGAAAGCGCGGGGCUCAACCCUGCGUCGGCCAUGAAUACUGCCGCGGCUGGAGCACUGUAGAGGCAGGCGGAAUUCCCGGUGUAGCGGUGAAAUGCGCAGAUAUCGGGAGGAACACCAAUGGCGAAGGCAGCUCGCUGGGACGGUACUGACGCUGAGACGCGAAAGCGUGGGGAGCAAACAGG
rnacentral:rRNA from 1 species